UAGAGUUUGAUCCUGGCUCAGGACGAACGCUGGCGGCGCGCCUAACACAUGCAAGUCGAACGAGCGAGAGAGAGCUUGCUUUCUCGAGCGAGUGGCGAACGGGUGAGUAACGCGUGAGGAACCUGCCUCAAAGAGGGGGACAACAGUUGGAAACGACUGCUAAUACCGCAUAAGCCCACGGGUCGGCAUCGACCAGAGGGAAAAGGAGCAAUCCGCUUUGAGAUGGCCUCGCGUCCGAUUAGCUAGUUGGUGAGGUAACGGCCCACCAAGGCAACGAUCGGUAGCCGGACUGAGAGGUUGAACGGCCACAUUGGGACUGAGACACGGCCCAGACUCCUACGGGAGGCAGCAGUGGGGAAUAUUGCACAAUGGGGGAAACCCUGAUGCAGCGACGCCGCGUGGAGGAAGAAGGUCUUCGGAUUGUAAACUCCUGUUGUUGGGGAAGAUAAUGACGGUACCCAACAAGGAAGUGACGGCUAACUACGUGCCAGCAGCCGCGGUAAAACGUAGGUCACAAGCGUUGUCCGGAAUUACUGGGUGUAAAGGGAGCGCAGGCGGGAAGACAAGUUGGAAAUGAAAUCUAUGGGCUCAACCCAUAAACUGCUUUCAAAACUGUUUUUCUUGAGUAGUGCAGAGGUAGGCGGAAUUCCCGGUGUAGCGGUGGAAUGCGUAGAUAUCGGGAGGAACACCAGUGGCGAAGGCGGCCUACUGGGCACCAACUGACGCUGAGGCUCGAAAGUGUGGGUAGCAAACAGGAUUAGAUACCCUGGUAGUCCACACCGUAAACGAUGAUUACUAGGUGUUGGAGGAUUGACCCCUUCAGUGCCGCAGUUAACACAAUAAGUAAUCCACCUGGGGAGUACGACCGCAAGGUUGAAACUCAAAGGAAUUGACGG
rnacentral:rRNA from 1 species